GAUGAACGCUGGCGGCGUGCUUAACACAUGCAAGUCGAGCGAAGCACUGAACUUGAUUUCUUCGGAUUGAAAGUUUUUUGACUGAGCGGCGGACGGGUGAGUAACGCGUGGGGAACCUGUCCCAUACCGGGGGAUAACAGUUAGAAAUGACUGCUAAUAUCGCAUAAGCGCACACUAGGGCAUCCUAGAGUGUGAAAAACUCCGGUGGUAUGGGAUGGACCCGCGUUGGAUUAGCCAGUUGGCGGGGUAACGGCCCACCAAAGCGACGAUCCAUAGCCGGCCUGAGAGGGCGACCGGCCACAUUGGGACUGAGACACGGCCCAAACUCC
rnacentral:rRNA from 1 species